UACAGAGGGUGCAAGCGUUGUUCGGAAUUAUUGGGCGUAAAGCGCGUGUAGGCGGCUUUGCAAGUCGGGUGUGAAAGCCCUCGGCUCAACCGAGGAAGUGCGCCCGAAACUGCAGAGCUUGAGUACCGGAGAGGAUGGCGGAAUUCCCCAAGUAGAGGUGAAAUUCGUAGAUAUGGGGAGGAACACCGGUGGCGAAGGCGGCCAUCUGGACGGAUACUGACGCUGAGACGCGAAAAGCGUGGGUGAGCAAACGAGG
rnacentral:rRNA from 1 species